GCUCAAGUUUAUCUCUCUAAUUACGUCUAAGGCACUUCGUCCGAAUUCCUCUUGGAGAUCGGACGGUAUACUCGUCUGAACGUGCGAUAUGAUGUGUCCUAGAUGAAACGAUAAGAUCUGAUCGAGAUCUGUGGGUACGACACCUCAAAUCCAACUUUUUGCAGAAUUUCUCUGAGAACUUCUUCGGGAUCCGUUACGUAUUGAUAGGGCGACAUGUACUUGUCGUAGUCGCCGAUGUACGGGCGCCAUUUUUCCUUCUCGGCCAAGCGGGAUAUUAUGACGAAGAGUCGGUUACGUACAACCGAAGUAAAACUGAAGUCUCCUCCAGGUUUCAGCAUCUUCCACACUUUUCCCAGUGCAACUCUAUGAAGGUGAUUAUGAGAUGACCUGAGUCGUGUGGACUUACUCUUGUUCCUUUAUGAAGUGAAGGCAUGAGAAGGAAAAUGCGUGGUCGAAGUACCCCUCGUGGGUUUCAGUGAAGUUUGUGUCACUAACCAUGUUCACCUGUCGGAAGAUCAGCUUGGGAAUUCCUCCGUACGUCUUGUUAGCAUGCUCGAUUGCUGAUUGCAGUUUGUCAAUCCCCACCACCAGUUCAGCAGAUUUCGGUAGAAUUGGAAGAAGAACGUCGUGGGUGACAUUGCCGGGUCCGCACCCGACGUCCAGAGCUCUACAGUUAUUCUUCCACUGAACUAGUUCCGCAAAUCUUCCUAUGAUGUAUCUUGCUUCCCUCUGCGCGGGCGAGCUAUGGUUUAUGUAACGCACGACGUUAUUCAUGCUCGAGCUAAUCUGGAACGAGAAAAGGUCUAAAACUUACGCUGAAAUUUGUUCUAAAUUUUAAGGACGGGUCGUCAUAGGUUUAUCUUGACAGAUUAAUCGACUUGUCUACUGCAGAUAAAUUUUGGCAAGUUCAUUAUCUCAAGGUAAUCAAUUAAUACUAUUUUACACAUACGUGGAUUUUAAUACAAUAUAUUUUGUGGGAAAAUUUACAAGGGCAAAAUAAUAAAUUUGAAGCGUUUUUUAUUUGUGCGAUUCUGGUUUGGCGAGAGAAUCUUAUAUCAGGAGGGUAUAAUAAGCGGAAGGAUUUUAUUGACAAAUUUACAAGCGUACAAUUAUUAAAAAAGGUAGGUACUCGCAUUAGGAGAGCAUAAAUGGUUUUUUUUUGCAUUCCUGCGGUCCUGAUACAAUACGACUUCGAGGGAAUUUCUAACAUUUCAUUUCGAAAAAGGGGAGGUUAGAGCAUAAUGCUUAAGCAGGUACAUAUUUAAUCUUUGAUCUUGAGAUCAUCAUUUCAGCUAGUAUCAAGAGAACAUGAUUCGAGAGGACUGGCACCUUGACACGAUAAUUAUUCAUCGGCUAAAACGUAAAACGAGGAAACGUGCGGGGAUGAGUACUAAUAAACUGCACCUCGUUUUUUGUUUCUGCGAUCCUGAUACAAUCACUUUUUAGGUGAAAUUCGUGUCAGUGAGACACAAUCGAGAAAUCAUGCAUAGCAUAGCAGGAAACCAUAAUUCGUGAGAUGCAUUUUAAACAUUUUCGCGUUCCUAGGAUCUUAUUUGCAUCAGGAGAAUGUAUAAUGUAAGUGUGCACUCUCCGAUGCUUGUAAUAAUGAGGAAAAUGUAUCUAUAUAACGCAUUAUAUGACCCUGAUGCAUAAUUUUUGAGGAGAAAUUUAUAUCGGGAACGCGAGGAAACGUGUAUCUCACUCUCUUCCUGUUCUUAAUUCAAGACGGUGUCUGUAUCAGGCAAACAUACCUGUGUUGCUGCGAUCCUGAUACAAAUGAAGAUUACGAAAACUUAGUUCUGCUGUAUCAAGAGAAAAUAAUACUAUGGAACCUGUCCCAAUAAAUAUAAACCCAAUUCCUAAAAUUCUGCUUUAAGAAGAGAGGCAUGUGUCAGGAGAACAUAAAGGAAUGAUCUUUUAAGAGGAGUUGUGCGCA